rnacentral:rRNA from 1 species
GACGAACGCUGGCGGCGUGCCUAAUACAUGCAAGUAGAACACUGAAGGAGGAGCUUGCUUCUCUGGAUGAGUUGCGAACGGGUGAGUAACGCGUAGGUAACCUACCUGGUAGCGGGGGAUAACUAUUGGAAACGAUAGCUAAUACCGCAUAAGAGUAGAUGUCGCAUGACAUUUGCUUAAAAGGUGCAAUUGCAUCACUACCAGAUGGACCUGCGUUGUAUUAGCUAGUUGGUGAGGUAACGGCUCACCAAGGCAACGAUACAUAGCCGACCUGCGAGGGUGAUCGGCCACACUGGGACUGAGACACGGCCCAGACUCCUACGGGAGGCAGCAGUAGGGAAUCUUCGGCAAUGGACGGAAGUCUGACCGAGCAACGCCGCGUGAGUGAAGAAGGGUUUCGGAUCGUAAAGCUCUGUUGUAAGAGAAGAACGAGUGUGAGAGUGGAAAGUUCACACUGUGACGGUAUCUUACCAGAAAGGGACGGCUAACUACGUG